rnacentral:misc_RNA from 1 species
AAAGUCGUAACAAGGUAACCGUAGGUGAACCUGCGGUUGGAUCAUUAAAAUAAAAUGUCUCCACAAGGAGUUACAAACUAUAGGCCUUAAAGCAUAUGCGUCAGCAUUGUUGCAGGGCUUUUAGAACAUUAUGUGAACUGUAUCGUCUCUGGCAGGGGGAUAGUGUAAAAGUCAUUUACUCUAUCUGUCAGCUUGGUAUUAUAAUAUAUUUUGCUAGGCCGUGGACAUCCUGUCAAACAUUUGUACAAACCUUUUGCCUUUUUUUUGUCUGACAUUUUUUUGUAUAAAUAUACAAACAACUUUUGGCAACGGAUCUCUUGGCUCUC